rnacentral:rRNA from 1 species
UACAGAGGGUGCAAGCGUUAAUCGGAAUUACUGGGCGUAAAGCGUGCGUAGACGGUAGCGUAAGUCGGGUGUGAAAGCCCCGGGCUCAACCUGGGAAUUGCAUUCGAGACUGCUCUGCUAGGGUGCGGAAGAGGGAAGCGGAAUUUCCGGUGUAGCGGUGAAAUGCGUAGAUAUCGGAAGGAACACCAGUGGCGAAAGCGGCUUCCUGGUCCAGCACCGACGUUCAGGCACGAAAGCGCGGGGAGCGAACAGG